UUACACACGCGGUACAAUGGCGCGUACAGAGGGUAAGCCAAGCCGCGAGGUGGAGCAGACCACAGAAAGCGCGUCGUAGUUCGGAUUGCAGUCUGCAACUCGACUGCAUGAAGUCGGAAUCGCUAGUAAUCGCGGAUCAGCAUGCCGCGGUGAAUACGUUCCCGGGCCUUGUACACACCGCCCGUCACACCAUGGGAGUGGAUUGUACCAGAAGCAGGCUAGACGU
rnacentral:rRNA from 1 species